rnacentral:rRNA from 1 species
AGUGAACGCUGGCGGCAUGCCUAACACAUGCAAGUCGAACGAGUGGCGGACGGGUGAGUAAUACAUCGGAAUCUACCCUGUCGGGGGGGAUAACGUAGGGAAAAUUACGCUAAUACCGCAUACGAUUGAAUUCGCCGAUGUCGGAUUAGCUAGUUGGCGGGGUAAAGGCCCACCAAGGCGACGAUACGUAGCUGGUCUGAGAGGGGGAUCAGCAAAACUGGAACGGAGACACGGUCCAGACUCCUACGGGAGGCAGCAGGGGGGAAUAUUGGACAAGGGGGGCAAGCCUGAUCCAGCCAGACCGCGUGGGUGAAGAAGGCCUUCGGGUUGUAAAGCCCUUUUGUUGGGAAAGCGGUACCCAAAGAAUAAGCACCGGCUAACUUCGUGCCAGCAGCCGCGGUAAUUC